rnacentral:tRNA from 1 species
GCGGCUGGUGGAGUGGUUAAUGCUUUGUUUGUUGAACAAGAGGUCUCCGGUUCGAUCCUGGUUGCGCA